CCUGCCCAUUGAAUAAUUUAAAAGGCCGCGGUAUAUUAACUGUGCAAAGGUAGCAUAAUCAUUAGUUUUUUAAUUGAAGGCUUGUAUGAAGGGUUGGACAAAGGAUAAUCUGUCUUUAUUUUUAUUUCUGAAUUUAACUUUUAAGUGAAAAGGCUUAAGUAAAUUUAAGGGACGAUAAGACCCUAUGAAUCUUUAUAUUAUGUUACUUUUAAUUAAUUAAUGUUGUAGAUAUAGUGAUAAGGUGGGGUAUAUUGUGUUGGGGUGAUGAGAAUAUAAGAAAUAACUGUUCUAAAUUUAAAACAAAAUUGUUUGAGGUAAUAAUAGAUCCUUUAUUGGAGAUUAAAAGUUUAAGUUACUUUAGGGAUAACAGCGUUAUUUUUUUUGAGAGUUCUUAUCGAAAAAAAAGUUUGCGACCUCGAUGUUGAAUUAAAAUUUCUUUGUGGCGCAGGUGUUACAAGAGAGAGUCUGUUCGACUUUUAAAGGAGCUUGAGCU
rnacentral:rRNA from 1 species